rnacentral:rRNA from 1 species
UGUAGGAUAGGUGGGAGACUGUGAAACCUCGACGCCAGUUGGGGCGGAGUCGUUGUUGAAAUACCACUCUGAUCGUAUUGGGCAUCUAACCUCGAACCCUGAAUCGGGUUUAGGGACAGUGCCUGGCGGGUAGUUUAACUGGGGCGGUUGCCUCCUAAAAUGUAACGGAGGCGCCCAAAGGUUCCCUCAACCUGGACGGCAAUCAGGUGGCGAGUGUAAAUGCACAAGGGAGCUUGACUGCGAGACUUACAAGUCAAGCAGGGACGAAAGUCGGGAUUAGUGAUCCGGCACCCCCGAGUGGAAGGGGUGUCGCUCAACGGAUAAAAGGUACCCCGGUGGAUAACAGGCUGAUCUUCCCCAAGAGUCCAUAUCGACGGGAUGGUUUGGCACCUCGAUGUCGGCUCGUCGCAUCCUGGGGCUGGAGCAGGUCCCAAGGGUUGGGCUGUUCGCCCAUUAAAGCGGCACGCGAGCUGGGUUUAGAACGUCGUGAGACAGUUCGGUCUCUAUCCGCCGCGCGCGUCAGAAACUUGAGGAAACCUGUCCCUAGUACGAGAGGACCGGGACGGACGAACCUCUGGUGCACCAGUUGUCCCGCCAGGGGCACCGCUGGAUAGCCACGUUCGGUCAGGAUAACCGCUGAAAGCAUCUAAGCGGGAAACCUUCUCCAAGAUCAGGUUUCUCACCCACUUGGUGGGAUAAGGCCCCCCGCAGAACACGGGUUCAAUAGGUCAGACCUGGAAGCUCAGUAAUGGGUGUAGGGAACUGGUGCUAACCGGCCGAAAACUUACAACA